UGAACGAGGGUCACUGGCACUGGGGGGAUUACACGGUGCAGAUAAACAGCGCCUUCUGCACUGGAAUCUAUGGGAUGUGGAACCUGUACGUCUUCGCCAUCAUGUUCCUGUAUGCACCUUCGCACAAACGCUACGGAGACGAGCAGUCCAGUGGGCAGUGCAUCACGGGUGACGGCGGCGCCGCCAGCGGAGAAGACAUCCAGCUGACCACCACCAUCACCCACGUAGACGGACCCACUGAGAUCUACAAAAUGACCGGGAAGGAGGCCCAGGAAUAGUUGACACCGUCCGAGACGCCGCCCGCUACCUUCGCUUUGACGUCCCGCCUCCCUGAGCGCCAACAAUCCACCUGUCAGAGCUGCACUCAUCACAGAUCCUCCAGCCGGUCCAGGUGGCGCCCCUUUCCUAACCUCCACGUCGGUCCUCUUGAUUUCACACGACUUGCUGUCGAAUUUCCUUCUAGAUGUUCACUGUGGUGUUUUUUUUUAAAUGUUGCACAAUGCCUUUGAGACGAAGCUGGGUACAGAAAAAGCUGCUUUGGAUGGAUUUUAAAGAGGUAGGAUGUUUUAUGUUGCAGCCGUCAAAACGCUCCAGAUUGUUUUCAGGUUGUUUGCAGAGACUUGAAGAGUUUAAAGGAUGAACGGAGACGUUUCAGCGAACGCUCGCCUACUUUUAUCCGAGCUCUUAGAGCUGUCACUACAGUCUGUUUGUUGUUGUUUUUUUUAUCACUGAGGGAAAAAUGUACGCUGGACUUUUACUACUUUGGUCAAAUAAUUUACAUUUAUUAUGUUACAAUGUAGAUAUCCAUUUUUUUUUAUAUCCAAGUGCUUAUUUUUAUCUUCCCACACUGUCGGUACCAAGCUCUGAAUGUCGGACGUUGAUCAUAGCCUUCCACAUUCUGUAUUUAGUUUAGCCAUUUUCUUUUUUUUUAUGCGUAUUUAAAUAAACUCAUUAUCAAUA